ACGGGGCUGCCCGGCACGAGCCGCAUGAACAUCCCUGAGGCUAUAAGCAAUCCAAGGGAGCCGUCCCUACCGGAUUGGCGGGUUCGUCCUGGCGAUCUGGAUAUAUGGCGCCCACCUGACGUGAAGGCGUCAGAGGAUUUUCCGGCAACGACCCAUGGCGGUCCCGUC
rnacentral:misc_RNA from 1 species